GGUGAACGCUGGCGGCGCGCUUAAGACAUGCAAGUCGAACGGCAGUCUUCGGACUGUAGUGGCGCACGGGUGAGUAACGCGUAACUGACCUACCCCAAAGUCGCGGAUAACGAUUCGAAAGAAUCGCUAAUACGUGAUGUGCUGUCAGAUUGUGUUCUGCCAGUAAAGAUUGAUUGCUUUGGGAUGGGGUUGCGUUCCAUCAGCUAGUUGGUGGGGUAAAGGCCCACCAAGGCGACGACGGAUAGCCGGCCUGAGAGGGUGGCCGGCCACAGGGGAACUGAGACACGGGUCCCACUCCUACGGGAGGCAGCAGUUAGGAAUCUUCCACAAUGGGCGAAAGCCUGAUGGAGCGACGCCGCGUGAGGGAUGAAGGUCUUCGGAUCAUAAACCUCUGAAUCAGGGACGAAAGACACUUCGGUGGGAUGACGGUACCUGAGUAAUAGCACCGGCUAACUCCGUGCCAGCAGCCGCCGUAAAAC
rnacentral:rRNA from 1 species